UACGAAGGGGGCUAGCGUUGUUCGGAAUCACUGGGCGUAAAGCGCACGUAGGCGGACCUUUAAGUCAGGGGUGAAAGCCUGGAGCUCAACUCCAGAACUGCCUUUGAUACUGGAGGUCUCGAGUGUGGAAGAGGUUGGUGGAACUGCGAGUGUAGAGGUGAAAUUCGUAGAUAUUCGCAAGAACACCAGUGGCGAAGGCGGCCAACUGGUCCAUUACUGACGCUGAGGUGCGAAAGCGUGGGGAGCAAACAGG
rnacentral:rRNA from 1 species